rnacentral:rRNA from 1 species
AUUGAACGCUGGCGGCAGGCCUAACACAUGCAAGUCGAGCGAGCGGCGGACGGGUGAGUAAGGUCUGGGAACCUGCCUGAUGGAGGGGGAUAACUACUGGAAACGGUAGCUAAUACCGCAUACCAUCAGAUUUGCCCAGAUGUGAUUAGCUAGUAGGUGGGGGAACGGCUCACCUAGGCGACGAUCCCUAGCUGGUCUGAGAGGAGGACCAGCAAAACGGGAACUGAGACACGGUCCAGAAUCCUACGGGAGGCAGCAGUGGGGAAUAUUGCACAAUGGGCGCAAGCCGGAUGCAGCCAUGCCGCGUGUGUGAAGAAGGCCUUCGGGUGGUAAAGCACUUUCAGCGGGGAGGCGGUACCAACAGAAUAAGCACCGGCUAACUUCGUGCCAGCAGCCGCGGUAAUAC